rnacentral:rRNA from 1 species
AACGAACGCUGGCGGCAGGCUUAACACAUGCAAGUCGAGCGCCCCGCAAGGGGAGCGGCAGACGGGUGGGUAACGAGUGGGAACGUACCCUUAUCUUCGGGAUAGCUCCGGGAGACUGGAAUUAAUACCGAAUGUGCCAUUUGGGGGAAAGAUUUAUCGGGUAAGGAUCGGGCCGCGGUGGAUUAGCUAGUUGGUGGGGUCAAGGCCUAAUAAGCCAACGGUCCAGAGCUGGUCUGAGAGAAUGGGCAGCCACUCUGGGACUGAGCAGCGGGCCGAACUCCUGCGGGAGGCAGCAGUGGGUGAUAUUGGAAAGUGGGCGGAGUCCUGAUCCUGCCAGGCCGGUUGAGCGAUGAAGGCCUUAGGGUUGUAAAGCUCUUUCACCGGAGAAGGUAUUGACGGUAUCCGGAGAAGAAGCCCCGGCUAACUUCGUG